UGCAUAAGUCAUUUGUUUCACUUCAUUCCAACUGAUAACACUCUCUUACUUUUGUCUAAAAAUUGAUCCCUCUUUCAAUGUAGGGUUUGGUAAAAUUGAAUCACCAUCUCCAACAUCCCCCCCUCCCCCUCAAGUUGGAAGGGGGGAAAGACACUCCCAACUUGCCGAUGACAGAGUGAUGGACAAAACCAAGGAUAGCUUUCGUAAAGACGUCGGUGAGCUGAGAGGGUGAAGGCACAAAGUGAAGGGAAAUCAAACCGGCCAAAAAUUGUUGCCGGAAAAAAUGGCAAUCUAGUUCGACAUGCUUCAUCCUUUCAUUGAAGCUGAGAUUUUUAGCUAUGUGAAGCGCCGCUUGACUGUCAGAGUGAACGGCCACCGGAAGAGAUGGAGGAAUAGAGAGGUCUUGUAGAAGAUGCACCAACCAAGUGACUUCUGAGACAACUCUCAUCAUAGAUCGGUACUCGACUUCUGCAGAAGAAAGGGAAACCAAAGUUUGCUUUUUAGAUUUCCAAGAGAUGGGAGAACCUCCGAGACUGAUAGAAUACGACUAAUGGAACGUCUAGUGUCUGGACAAAAUCCCCAAUUAGAAUCACAAAAAGCCAAAAGCUUUUAAAGGGUCUGAGUUGAAGAAGAGACCAAGCCCAGGAGUAGCAUGAAGAUAAUGAAGACAGUGAAUCCCUGCAUCAAAAUAAGAUUGGCGAGGAGAUUGCAUGAAUUUACUGAGAACCGGUGCACUGCGAAAGAGAUAUCCGAGCAAGUAUGGGCCAGAAAAUUUAAUUUGCCCACAAGACGUCGAUAAAUGGUGAGAUUUGAAAGAAGCUGGCUAGAAUCUGGCUUUAGCUUUGUAUAUGGAUCAAGUGGUGAAGAAACAGGCUUUAAAGUGAGACAAUCAAACUCUGAGAGAAGCUCCAAGUUUUGGAAUACAACACACUAUCAACAAUAUCCCUAGAAAAAGAGUUUAAGAGCCAGGAAAUUACCAUGUCGUUGCAACGAUUCCAAGCUUUGGAUGAAGGAUCAGCCAUGUCUAGUUCUUUGAUGGAUCCAUCAAUGAAGCCAAGCUUGUUCUUGGCUGAGAGUGCUAUCACAAUUUCCCUAUGCCAACCAGCAUAGCUUUUCCGAUCAAAAACUGAAUUGACUAACACCAUACUAGGUGAGUCUGAUGGGUGAAGGUAGAGUAGAUAUGAAGCAUCAGAAACAAGAAUGUUUCGAGCAAUCACUGUGGAAGGAGAAGGUGUUUCUUCAGUUGAGGGAGACAUGAGUAAUCUGAAUGAAAUAAGUUAAGAACAGAAGAAUGAAGGAUGAAGAGAAGGACGUUGAUGAGCUACCAAUGCUCUGAUACCAUGUUAGAUUUAGGAAGUUUCUUUUGUAUUGUAUUGAAUGAAAUUAUCUGUACAGUACAUGUAUUUUAUAUAAAAAUCAAAUAGACCUAAGUGUAAAGAAUAAAUCUUCUAACUACCUACAACUGUACUAUUUCUAUUCCGCACGCUAUAACUAAUGUAUAUAGGUCAGUAACACAAUAGAAACUAAAAGAUGCUAUUUUAUUA